GAUCUCUUUUGUGGUUUUUGUUUUAGAAGCAAGUUGAUUUCACAGUGUUCAGAAAAUGUUCAGACUGAGUAACAACCUUGUUGGCAUCCUCAACUUCAUCACCUUCCUGCUCUCAGUCCCUAUCUUGGGAGCGGGAAUAUGGCUGAGCCACCGGGCCAGCACCGACUGCGAGAAGUUUUUGGAGAAGCCCGUGAUAGCGCUUGGUGUGUUUCUCAUGGUGGUGUCACUGGCGGGGCUGAUCGGGGCCUGUUGCAGAGUGUCGUGGCUUCUCUGGGUCUACCUACUGGUGAUGUUUCUCUUGAUCGUGCUUCUCUUCUGCUUCACCAUCUUCGCCUUUGUGGUCACUAACAAGGGUGCCGGAGAGGUUUUGUCUGGGAAGGGGUAUAAGGAGUAUAGGCUCGGGGAUUACUCCAAUUGG
rnacentral:lncRNA from 1 species